rnacentral:rRNA from 1 species
GAGCAUGGGCCGUAAUGGAAAUACCGGUGCAAGCGAAGGAGGUGUGCAGCCGGCAAAUCCGCUGCAUGAGCCGAAAGCAUGACGCGGAGCGAAAUAAAAGUAGCGAAGCAUGUGAGCCCUGUGCCGAGAAAAGCCGCUAUAGCUUUAUAUGUGCCCGUACCGUAAACCGACACAGGUGGAUGAGGAGAGAAUCCUAAGGCCGGCGGAAGAAGUGUUGUUAAGGAACUCGGCAAAAUGACCCCGUAACUUCGGGAGAAGGGGUGCCCACGGGAGUGGGCCGCAGAGAAUAGGCUCAAACAACUGUUUAGCAAAAACACAGGUCUAUGCGAAACCGAAAGGUGAAGUAUAUGGGCUGACGCCUGCCCGGUGCUGGAAGGUUAAGAGGAGAGGUUAGAGCAAUCGAAGCUUUGAAUUUAAGCCCCAGUAAACGGCGGCCGUAACGAUAACGGUCCUAAGGUAGCGAAAUUCCUUGUCGGGUAAGUUCCGACCCGCACGAAAGGCGUAAUGAUUUGAGCACUGUCUCGACAAUACAUCCGGUGAAAUUGAAGUACCAGUGAAGAUGCUGGUUACCCGCGCCAGGACGGAAAGACCCCAUGGAGCUUUACUCCAGUUUGGUACUGGGAUUCGGUACUGCACGUACAGGAUAGGUGGGAGACUAAGAAACUUGAACGCCAGUUUGAGUGGAGUCGCUGUUGGGAUACCACCCCUGCAGUAUUGGAUUUCUAACCAGUCACCGUGAUCCGGUGAUGGGACAAUGCCAGGCGGGGAGUUUGACUGGGGCGGUCGCCUCCGAAAGGGUAUCGGAGGCGCUCAAAGGUUCCCUCAGAAUGGUCGGAAACCAUUUGAAGAGUGCAAAGGCAGAAGGGAGCUUGACUGCGACACCGACGGGUGGAGCAGGUAGGAAACUAGGACUUAGUGAUCCGGUGGCAUAAAGUGGGAUUGCCGUCGCUCAACGGAUAAAAGCUACCCUGGGAUAACAGGCUUAUCACUCCCAAGAGUUCACAUCGACGGAGUGGUUUGGCACCUCGAUGUCGGCUCAUCGCAUCCUGGGGCUGUAGCAGGUCCCAAGGGUUGGGCUGUUCGCCCAUUAAAGCGGUACGCGAGCUGGGUUCAGAACGUCGUGAGACAGUUCGGUCCCUAUCCGGCGCGGGCGGAGGAUAUUUGAGAGGAGCUGUCCUUAGUACGAGAGGACCGGGAUGGACGGACCACUGGUGUAUCUGCUGUCGGCCAACGGCAUGGCAGAGUAGCCAAGUCCGGAAGGGAUAAACGCUGAAGGCAUCUAAGCGUGAAGCCCCCCUCAAGAUGAGAUAUCCCUCACAUAAGUGGGUAAGAUCCCUUGAAGACUACAAGGUAGAUAGGGCAGAGGUGGAAGUGUGGCAACACAUGGAGCUGACUGUUACUAAUCGAUCGAGGGCUUGACC